rnacentral:rRNA from 1 species
ACUACGGGAGGCAGCAGUGGGGAAUAUUGCACAAUGGGGGAAACCCUGAUGCAGCAACGCCGCGUGAGUGAGGAAGUAUUUCGGUAUGUAAAGCCCUAUCAGCAGGGAAGAACAAUGACGGUACCUGACUAAGAAGCACCGGCUAAAUACGUGCCAGCAGCCGCGGUAAUACGGAUGGUGCAAGCGUUAUCCGGUGUUACUGGGUGUAAAGGGAGCGCAGGCGGCGCGUUAAGCCUGGUGUGAAAGCCCGCGGGCCAACCGCGGGACUGCAUUGGGAACUGGCGCGGUGGAGGGCCGGAGGGGUAGGCGGAAUUCCUAGUGUAGCGGUGAAAUGCGUAGAUAUUAGGAGGAACACCAGUGGCGAAGGCGGCCUACUGGACGGUGACUGACGCUGAGGCUCGAAAGCGUGGGGAGCAAACAGGAUUAGAUACCCUUGUAGUC